GGAAUUUCGCAAUGGGCGAAACCUGACGGCAGCAAUACCGCGUGAGGGAUGUAAGGCUCUUGGGUUGUAAACCUCUUUUCUCAGGGAAGAAAAAAAUGAGGGUACCUGAGGAAUAAACAUCGGCUAACUCCGUGGCAGCAGCCGCGGUAAUACGGAGGAUGCACGCGUUAUCCGGAAUGAUUGGGCGUAAAGCGUCCGCAGGUGGGUUUUGCAAGUCUGCUGUGAAAGGUCAGGGCUCAACCCUGAAGAGGCUGGUGGAAACUGAAAAGCUAUAGUGCGGUAGGGGUAGAAGGAAUUCCCCGUGUACCGGUGAAAUGCGUACAGUAUUGGGAAAAACACCAGUGGCGAAAGCGCUCUGCUAUAGCGCAACUGACACUCAUGGACAGAAAGCUAGGGGUAGCCGAAUGGCAUUAGUUACCCCAGUUAGUCCUAGCCGUAAACGAUGGAUACUACGCGUUGAGAGUAUCGACCCUCUCAGUGCCGGUAGCUAACGCGUUAAUUUAUCCCGCCUGGGGAGUACGCACGCCCGUGUGGAAACUCAAAGGAAUUGACUGUCCGACCCUUUUCCGUCUUCUGGCCCUCCUCUUCUAC
rnacentral:rRNA from 1 species